GCAGCACACUGCAUGUUAUGGAAGUACUUUACCGCUGAGCUACAACCCUGCUCUCUUUUAUUCGCCUUUAAGAUUGUAGAAAGGAGGGUCUGCAUUUAUUUUUGUCAUACUGGUUAUAUUUAGAAAGUCUGGAAUCUCAUAAGCACUCAAUAAAUUUUUGUCAAGUCAAAGAACCAAUUAAUGAUCAAAUAAAUGAAUAAUAUCAAGCAGAAGACACUGAACCAGGGUGAAGUUUUAGGAGCCUCAACAGAAGAUAAGAACUGGCCUGGUCUCUGCAUGAUUUCUGCCACAACCACAGAGACGGAGGAAAAGCCUGUCUCCCAACCCAAAGGCUAUGACCACUGCCAGCCAGCCUUUCCUCCAACAGUCACUUCAGGCAGCUCUGGAAAACACCAGUAUCUGCAGCAACUCAGAUCUCUAUUUUCAUUUUUUAAAAAACAGUGUUCCUUGUCCCAAGAUGGCCAAGGACAUGAUGGAAGUAUAAUCGGGGUCUGGCAAGGUGAUAAUCUUGGAAAUUAAAAAUCAUGACCUUUAGAGAACUAAAACAGAGAGCAAUAAUUCUGUACUUUACAUGAGUAUAUCUUGUUACUAUACAAAUAAAGUACUAAUUUUUGUUCUGUAGGUAAAUCUGA